UGUGAGGCACAACCUCUGGGGCGC
rnacentral:piRNA from 1 species